CUUAUAUCACAAGAUGGCUCACAACAACCAGUACAUUAAGGUGAGAGAUGAUAAGGAUAUGCCAAGCCCCAUUACCUUACUUUUUUGGCACAGUAAACAUCACAUUCUGCAUCAAUGACAGCCCACUCCCUUCCCUACAUCCAUAACAUUCCAAGUUCCAACCUAUAAGAAUCUGGUAGUGCUCAGAAAAAUUGAUAGUCCCAAC
rnacentral:lncRNA from 1 species